rnacentral:rRNA from 1 species
CAUGCAAGUCGAGCGGACAGAUGGGAGCUUGCUCCCUGUAUGUUAGCGGCGGACGGGUGAGUAACACGUGGGUAACCUGCCUGUAAGACUGGGAUAACUCCGGGAAACCGGGGCUAAUACCGGAUGGUUGUUUGAACCGCAUGGUUCAGACAUAAAAGGUGGCUUCGGCUACCACUUACAGAUGGACCCGCGGCGCAUUAGCUAGUUGGUGAGGUAACGGCUCACCAAGGCAACGAUGCGUAGCCGACCUGAGAGGGUGAUCGGCCACACUGGGACUGAGACACGGCCCAGACUCCUACGGGAGGCAGCAGUAGGGAAUCUUCCGCAAUGGACGAAAGUCUGACGGAGCAACGCCGCGUGAGUGAUGAAGGUUUUCGGAUCGUAAAGCUCUGUUGUUAGGGAAGAACAAGUGCCGUUCAAAUAGGGCGGCACCUUGACGGUACCUAACCAGAAAGCCACGGCUAACUACGUGCCAGCAGCCGCGGUAAUACGUAGGUGGCAAGCGUUGUCCGGAAUUAUUGGGCGUAAAGGGCUCGCAGGCGGUUUCUUAAGUCUGAUGUGAAAGCCCCCGGCUCAACCGGGGAGGGUCAUUGGAAACUGGGGAACUUGAGUGCAGAAGAGGAGAGUGGAAUUCCACGUGUAGCGGUGAAAUGCGUAGAGAUGUGGAGGAACACCAGUGGCGAAGGCGACUCUCUGGUCUGUAACUGACGCUGANGAGCGAAAGCGUGGGGAGCGAACAGGAUUAGAUACCCUGGUAGUCCACGCCGUAAACGAUGAGUGCUAAGU